UGCGCAGGCGGUUUUGUAAGACAGAGGUGAAAUCCCCGGGCUCAACCUGGGAACUGCCUUUGUGACUGCAAAGCUGGAGUGCGGCAGAGGGGGAUGGAAUUCCGCGUGUAGCAGUGAAAUGCGUAGAUAUGCGGAGGAACACCGAUGGCGAAGGCAAUCCCCUGGGCCUGCACUGACGCUCAUGCACGAAAGCUGGGAGCAAACA
rnacentral:rRNA from 1 species